ACAGUGGAGAAGAAGAAGGUGCAGGAGGAGGGAGGAGAAGCUGCCAUGGGUGAGGAGUCAAGAAAACAUGGCCCUGAGGGCUGGCUGAUUGGCGUUAAGAGCAGCCCAGAUAAAACAUAUGCUUUAGAUCCUUUUGGACUUAAUUUGUAUGACAGAAGCCUCUGUUUCUGCGAUUCCAAUUUGGCUGGAACACAGCAAAAGAAUAGACUCAGUGAUCUGAUGAAGUUCAUCUGGGAAGCAGGGGAGUCUGGAUGGGCAGAGACUGAUUUUCUGAGGGUAAAGAAAAGACGGAGUUCCUACGACCGAGGCACCUCCAGGCCCUGCAGUUCCUCUGACACUGGGUAGGGGGAGCUAGCUGGUCUCGCUGCCCCUUCUCCUUCAGGAGGACCCUGAAAGGAAUGACCACUCCCAGCUUCCCCCUUUCUCAGAAGCCUCACCCAUGGUCCUCCUGUCUACCAGCUUCCCAAAUCCUCCAUAUAAACUUGGCUGGAUAAAAAUCCGCCCCCCGCCCCAGCCCGGGUUGAAAGGAAAAAAAGUAAGCUCAAUAAAUGAGUUUUGCAUCAAGGU
rnacentral:lncRNA from 1 species